rnacentral:rRNA from 1 species
AUGAACGCUAGCUACAGGCUUAACACAUGCAAGUCGAGGGGAAACGACAUCGAAAGCUUGCUUUUGAUGGGCGUCGACCGGCGCACGGGUGAGUAACGCGUAUCCAACCUGCCCAUCACUUGGGAAUAACCUUGCGAAAGUAAGACUAAUACCCAAUGACAUCCCACGAAGACAUCUGAAUGGGAUUAAAGAUUUAUCGGUGAUGGAUGGGGAUGCGUCUGAUUAGCUUGUUGGCGGGGUAACGGCCCACCAAGGCAACGAUCAGUAGGGGUUCUGAGAGGAAGGUCCCCCACAUUGGAACUGAGACACGGUCCAAACUCCUACGGGAGGCAGCAGUGAGGAAUAUUGGUCAAUGGGCGAGAGCCUGAACCAGCCAAGUAGCGUGCAGGAUGACGGCCCUAUGGGUUGUAAACUGCUUUUAGAAGGGAAUAAAGUGGGUCUCGUGAGACUUUUUGCAUGUACCUUAUGAAUAAGGACCGGCUAAUUCCGUG